GGAGAGGUGCGAGAGUGGCUGAAUCGGGCGGUCUCGAAAACCGUUAUACCAGCAAUGGUAUCGAGGGUUCGAAUCCCUCCCUCUCCG
rnacentral:tRNA from 1 species